rnacentral:rRNA from 1 species
GACGAACGCUGGCGGCGUGCUUAACACAUGCAAGUCGAACGGAAAGGCCCUGCUUUUGUGGGGUGCUCGAGUGGCGAACGGGUGAGUAACACGUGAGUAACCUGCCCUUGACUUUGGGAUAACUUCAGGAAACUGGGGCUAAUACCGGAUAGGAGCUCCUGCUGCAUGGUGGGGGUUGGAAAGUUUCGGCGGUUGGGAAUGGACUCGCGGCUUAUCAGCUUGUUGGUGGGGUAGUGGCUUACCAAGGCUUUGACGGGUAGCCGGCCUGAGAGGGUGACCGGCCACAUUGGGACUGAGAUACGGCCCAGACUCCUACGGGAGGCAGCAGUGGGGAAUAUUGCACAAUGGGCGGAAGCCUGAUGCAGCAACGCCGCGUGCGGGAUGACGGCCUUCGGGUUGUAAACCGCUUUCGCCUGUGACGAAGCGUGAGUGACGGUAAUGGGUAAAGAAGCACCGGCCAACUACGUG